rnacentral:rRNA from 1 species
CUACGGGAUGCUCCAGUGAGGAAUAUUGCACAAUGGGGGGAACCCUGAUGCAGCAACGCCGCGUGGAGGAUGACGCAUUUCGGUGUGUAAACUCCUUUUAUAUGUCAAGAAAAUGACGGUAGCAUAUGAAUAAGCACCGGCUAACUCCGUGCCAGCAGCCGCGGUAAUACGGAGGGUGCAAGCGUUACUCGGAAUCACUGGGCGUAAAGGACGCGUAGGCGGGUUGGAAAGUCAGGUGUGAAAUCCCACAGCUUAACUGUAGAACUGCACUUGAAACUUCUAAUCUAGAGUAUGGGAGGGGGAGAUGGAAUUAGUGGUGUAGGGGUAAAAUCCAUAGAUAUCACUAGGAAUACCUAAAGCGAAGGCGAUCUCCUGGAACAUUACUGACGCUAAGGCGUGAAAGCGUGGGGAGCAAACAGGAUUAGAUACCCCAGUAGUC